AACACUGGGAUAACUCCGGGAAACCGGGGCUAAUACCGGAUAACAUUUUGAACCGCAUGGUUCGAAAUUGAAAGGCGGCUUCGGCUGUCACUUAUGGAUGGACCCGCGUCGCAUUAGCUAGUUGGUGAGGUAACGGCUCACCAAGGCAACGAUGCGUAGCCAACCUGAGAGGGUGAUCGGCCACACUGGGACUGAGACACGGCCCAGACUCCUACGGGAGGCAGCAGUAGGGAAUCUUCCGCAAUGGACGAAAGUCUGACGGAGCAACGCCGCGUGAGUGAUGAAGGCUUUCGGGUCGUAUAACUCUGUUGUUAGGGAAGAACAAGUGCUAGUUGAAUAAGCUGGCACCUUGACGGUACCUAACCAGAAAGCCACGGCUAACUACGUGCCAGCAGCCGCGGUAAUACGUAGGUGGCAAGCGUUAUCCGGAAUUAUUGGGCGUAAAGCGCGCGCAGGUGGUUUCUUAAGUCUGAUGUGAAAGCCCACGGCUCAACCGUGUAGGGACAUUGGAAACUGGGAGACUUGAGUGCAGAAGAGGAAAGUGGAAUUCCAUGUGUAGCGGUGAAAUGCGUAGAGAUAUGGAGGAACACCAGUGGCGAAGGCGACUUUCUGGUCUGUAACUGACACUGAGGCGCGAAAGC
rnacentral:rRNA from 1 species